rnacentral:rRNA from 1 species
UACGUAGGUGGCAAGCGUUGUCCGGAAUUAUUGGGCGUAAAGCGCGCGCAGGCGGCCUCUUAAGUCUGAUGUGAAAUCUUGCGGCUCAACCGCAAGCGGCCAUUGGAAACUGGGGGGCUUGAGUACAGAAGAGGAGAGUGGAAUUCCACGUGUAGCGGUGAAAUGCGUAGAUAUGUGGAGGAACACCGGUGGCGAAGGCGACUCUCUGGUCUGUAACUGACGCUGAGGCGCGAAAGCGUGGGGAGCAAACAGG